AUUAUAGAAGGUUAGGUAAGUAAACAGCUUUCUCGCUCCCUCUUGACAUAUCGGCUCCCUUAUUUGAAAACGUGUUGCUUCUUUACAAAAAAAAGUACCUAUUUCACAAAAAAAUUUUUGAAUUGUAGUAAAAACUAAACUUUUGGUGCAAAUUAUUUGGUCGGCAACACCGUUUUCACUUUGACGCUUUGCUUUGUUAUUAUUCGUUGAAAAUCUUUUAUCUGUUUGUAAACAUUCAAGUCGAUUAUGUCUUACAUAUGGUGAUAGUCGAUUAUUUGGAGUCGGCUUUCUGCUGCAGAAAACCACCGGUUUGUGAAUUUUCAUACAUGUUUUUAUAGCAGCGUUUUUGCAAAUAUAACAGAUACCACCUUACAUACAAUACAUAAACUACAGUUAUUUUUAUUUGUAGGACUUCACAGACGAGCAAUUGCUGCGGAAGGUGUGUGUUGAAGAGCUAGGUGGCCCAACUAUUGUGGUUUUUAGAAACGAAAGCACGUAUGCGCGUAUUUCUACCAUUGUCUCAUGUGGUGCUACGGACAAUUUCAUAGGAGACAUGGAGCGUGUUGUGUAUGAUGGUGCAAAUACCUGUUUAACAUAUGACGGUCAUUAUGUGCCUAGUACUGCUACCUCUGAAAUCAAUUUGACUUCCGAACUGGCUGUCCACGUCGAUACCUUACCCCGUCUAGAACAAUAUGCUGUACGUAGAUGUAUGCGCAACACCUACACGAGCAAGUCCUCGCGCUUUAAGUCUACAAUUACAGAUAAGUUGUAAUGAUAUAUUUGUGAGUUAUUUUUAAGUUUUUGGUUUACAGGUUUUUGAUUUCUGCCUGAAGUAAGUGCAGCGUUCCAACACCUAUACGAGCAAGUGCACCCACAUUCCUCAUAUUUCCACUCCGAUUCAUUACUGAGACACGUGGUAUUGAUAUACGUAAAUUUACAAACCAUCACAAUUACUAAAAGUGGAUUAUAUUACCAAUAUGUAAAAUUUUUCGAUGUAUUAGUUUUAGUCUAUAUUAAUACAUUUUCCUAUUAAUAUUAGGGACGCAAAGUAUAUUAAGAAAUGAUCGACUGAACUUCUGCUUUCGCAAUGUCUUUACGGUAACAUACUACAUGUAUCUACAUGUAUUGUUAUGCAUAUUGUUAUAUAUAUAUAUAUUAUAUAUAAUUGGCGCGUACACCCUUUUUGGGUGUUUGGCCGAGCUCUUCCUCCUAUUUGUGGCGUGCGUCUUGAUGUUAUUCCACAAAUGGAGGGACCUACAGUUUCAAGCCGACUCCGAACGGCAGAAAAAAAAAACACAUACAUAAGUAACAUCACAUAGUUCUGCGUGCUCUUGUGUUAGAUAAACAUCGAAAAUAUUCUAAAUAAAUAUUACAUUUGUUUAAAGAAAAAACUAUAA